rnacentral:lncRNA from 1 species
AUGGCAGUCUCUCUCCCUGUGCACCUCGCAGCUCAUUUUUCAUUUCUGAGAUCAUUCUGUCUUUUUCUUCCUUUUCUUUCCCAAGAUCAAUCAACUCCCUUUUCAUUGCUUCCUAUCUCCGCCUGAUUCUGGGGUUUGGCGUCAGAAUUUCUGAUUCAAGGUAGGUUCUGUGGAACUGGUGUCUGCAGGGCCCUCCUGGCCAAGCAGGUAAUGAAGUCAUGGGUGAGGAAGACCAAGACGAACUGCAGCCUAUCGUGUGCCAAGCUCUGGGCCCUGCUCUUUGCACGGUUUUCUCUCCUUGAGUCCUCAUGUCAUCACUCGGUGUUUGACAUUUGGGACUGAUUAUAAAGACACUCACAAUUCUCCAGCCUUUCCAUAAAGAUGCAGGGUCCAGCUCCCCACCCCCGGGGUCUGGCUGACCACAUACUUUCUUUGAGGAAUGAAAUGCGAGCAGGUGGAAUGUAGGCAAGGACUUGAAAAGGUGGGCUCGCUGGGGCUUCUUGAAACAUCAUCACCAUGGGAACAAAGCCAGGCCAGCCUAAGAAGCAUGCAUCCCAGUCACCCCAUCAUGUCCAACUGCCAGACAUGACUGAGGCUGCUUUGGACCAGCUGGUACACAGCUAACUGACCUCACACACGUGUACAAGCCUGUCAGAGUCUGGCCAACUCAGUCUAAACCAGGAGAACCGCCCAGCAGAAUGACAAGCUUAAAUAAAUGCUUUUUCAGGAGUUCCCAUUGUGGCUCAGUGGAAACGAAACUGACUAGUAUCCAUGCAGGUUCGAUCCCUGGCAUCACUCAGUGGGUUAAGGAUGCGGCAUUGCUGUGACCUCUGGUGUAGGUCGAAGAUGUGGCUCGGAUUCCGCAUUGGUGUGGCUGUGGUGUAGGCUGGCAGCUGCAGCUCCAGUUCAACCCCUAGCCUAGGAACCUGCAUAUGCCAUGGGUGCAGCCCUAAAGAGACAAAAAAAAUUAAAAAAAUAAUGAAAUGCUUUUUCAGCCAUGAUGUUGUACAACAGUAAAUACCCAAUAUAGGAAAACACAUGGAGUCCAUGCCAGGGAAAGAUAGGUUGGGAAAACACCAUGUGUUAAGCUUGAAAAUGAAAGGUUUUAAACAUUAUGGCUGGCCUCAAAGAUUUUUCAAACUGUCGAAAAGAAAAAACAGAGAACUGGGGUUGAUUCAGGAGGACCAAGGAAUGGAACUUUCAAGAAAGCCAAAUUUAAGUCAAAAAGAGAAAUAACAUGAUAACAUCCCGAGCGAUUUACAACAUACUGGUCAACCACAGAAGGAAUUACAUUAGAGGCUAAAUGAAACCCCCAGAUAGGUGAUUCUGUCUUUGGGGAUGAUAUGUCCUAGGGAUGAAAAAGGUGCCCUUCCCAAUCCAGGGUUCUGGGGGACAAGAUGCUUCAGACCUUCUUUCAGUGUCUGAACCAUCCAAAGACGUUGUGUUCCCUUGGAUGGUAAAACUCUAGCCCACCAGAUCCUCAGGGCAGAGGUUCCUUGCCUGCCCACUUGCAUCUCUCACAAGCAAACUAUCCUAAUAAAUCUAUUUCUUGCCUUAAAAAACAAAACAAAAACAAAAAACCAAAGACUUUGUGUUUAAGUCAUCUGGGACUUGGGAUGAAAUCUGGCCAAUAUGGAAAUGCACAUCCUCUCUCAUGUGGCCAUUUGCUUCUGGGAUGCUUUGUCACCCAGUUCCUGUGGUCUUUCUGCUAUUGUGACUUCUCUGUGGCACAGGCGAGAUUUGGCCACAUCAAAUGAAAAGUUGGGCUGAAGUUUUGGUCCUCUCUGUCAACCCCACCCCCCUUGUUGCAGCAGAAAUGUAUAUCCUUUCAUCAGAGAGGGCUGCUAUGUUAGGGUUUAGCUCCCACUUUCCAUUGUCUGUAACCAUUCGCCUGGGUUCUGCAGAUCACAAGCCUCUGGACUUACCCUGCAUGGAUGAUCUGGGUUCACCUCUCAGGACAGGGGUGGGACUCAGCCUGACCUUCCCACCAUGGUUUUCUGCAUUUCAUAAAAGGCCACCCCAACACCUCUGUACAGAACUUCACACCUUUUAAUGAUGCUUGUUUUAGUGACUUAGUGGUUGAUCUACAAAUCUUCUACAUUUGCUUGUGCUACUGUGUUCUAAUAUGAUUCUAUGUUAUACUCAGUGUCACUCUUUGGUGAGAAUUAUACAGUGAUUCAGAAGAAUUAUCACUGAUGAACAUAAAGCUGAUAAUAUAUAAAACAUAAAUAAGACAAUCUCUCUGGACCAUGUUGAGAAUUUUAAAGAAAAAAAAAAAGAGCAGCAUAACUACAAGAAAAACUCCUUUUGGUAAAAGUGAUCAUUCAGAAUGUUGUUUCGUUUGCACUGGUUGCUGGUUUAUGGAGGAAGUCCACACCUACAGAAUCCUGUUGCAGUAUGAUUCAGCCACUUAAGAGGGCUUGAAGUUCAUUUUCAAUUAGUUUAUUUAAAUAUGCUUUUUAAAUUAUACUUGAUUUAUAAUGUUGUGCCAAUUUCUACUAUACAGCAAAGUGACUCAGUCAUACAUAUAUAUAUACAUUUUUUGCAUAUUAUCUUCCAUCAUGUCCUGUCUCAAGAGAUUGGAUAUCAUUCCCUGUGUUGUGCAAUAGGACUUCAAUUCUUAUCCAUUCUAAAUGCAUCUACUAACCCCCAAACUCCUAGUCCAUCUCAUUCCCUCCCCCCUUCCCCUUGGCAAACACAAGUCUGUUCGCCCUGUCUAUGAGUCUUGUUUCUGUUCUGUAGGUAGGUUAAUUGGGCCCCAUUUUAGAUUCCUCAUAUAAGUAAUAUCCCAUGGUAUUUGUCUUUCUCACUGAUUUCACUCAGUAUGAGAAUCUCUAGUUGCAUCCAUGUUGCUGCAAAUGGUAUUAUUUCAUUCUUUUUUUACAGCUGAGUGAUAUUCCAUUGUAUGUAUAUGUGUGUGUGUAUGUAUAUAUGUAUAUAUACACACCCCACAUUUUCUUCAUCCAUUCCUCUGUCAGUGGACAUUUAGGUUGUUUCCAUGUCUUGGAAUAGUGCUGCAGUGAACACAGGAGUGUAUUAAAUAUUUCUUUAUGUGAUUGAAGGUUGCUUCCUAUAGAAAAAUAAAUGUGCCUGCAACAGCC